rnacentral:rRNA from 1 species
AUUGAACGCUGGCGGCAUGCUUUACACAUGCAAGUCGGACGGCAGCGGGGUAGUGCUUGCACUACUGCCGGCGAGUGGCGAACGGGUGAGUAAUAUAUUGGAACGUACCGAGUAAUGGGGGAUAACCAAUCGAAAGAUUGGCUAAUACCGCAUACGCCCUGAGGAGGAAAGCAGGGGACCUUCGGGCCUUGCGUUAUUCGGGCGGCCAGUAUCUGAUUAGCUAGUUGGGGGGGUAAGGGCCUACCAAGGCGACGAUCAGUAGCGGGUCUGAGAGGAUGAUCCGCCACACUGGGACUGAGACACGGCCCAGACUCCUACGGGAGGCAGCAGUGGGGAAUUUUGGACAAUGGGCGCAAGCCUGAUCCAGCCAUGCCGCGUGUCUUAAGAAGGCCUUCGGGUUGUAAAGGACUUUUGUUAGGGAAGAAAAAGGAGCGGUUAAUACCCGUUUCUGCUGACGGUACCUAAAGAAUAAGCACCGGCUAACUACGUG